GGAUCUUCGCUGGCUGAGCAGCAGACAAAAUAUUUGGCAAAAUUGUGACUAAAAUGUGAGACAAACCUGAGCCACCAGGUUGGAGGAAAAAGGAGGAGGUGGCUAUCCAGCUGACCUGUUGUGGGAUUUGCAUAAAUCAUCAUUUCUUUCCGUAACACAACCCUACACAUGAGAUAAGGAUCAAGAGUACAUGGGAAAGUUGAGAUCUGUGUGGUGUCC